UAAAAAAAUUAAUCAUCUUUUGUCAUGAUGCUAGCCGGAAAAAACUGUACAUUGCUUAAUUGUGCUAAAUUAUGGGUCAAUUCCGAAGGAAAUCGUUUGUACAUCACGAAUUUCAUGUUUUUAUUGUUUGUACAAUCAUUGUUAAUUAGCUAGGUUGAGGUGAACAAUUAUGAUCUAACCGGACCCUCAGCAAAGCAUUGAUGGUUCCUGUAUUAUCGACCUUGGCGUUUUAUUCUCUCUGUUUGCAUGUGUGUUUACAAUAUUAGUUCAUUUUUUCAUGGAAAAAAAAAUUUAAAUUGAACAACAUAAUUGUUGAUGAAGGAUUAAUCACCUUAUUUGUACCUGGGCGGGAAAUAGAAAUACAUAUCUGCAUUGUGAUACGGGACAUUGGCAAUAAGGGAAAUCAUUAGCCCCGAAGAUUCUGACAGCUCGAAAGAGGUUAUGUUUGAUGAAAGAUUGUUAAAAGGAACAUUCCUGCAAUAAUCUUCGAUCAAAAGCAUUGACAAUCACUGCAAACCUUGUGAGAAGGCUGUGUGUAACUGAGAGUGAGGUAAAUCAUUCAUCGAUUUCUGAUGCGGCAGAAUGUCCCAGCAUGACCAUUAGUCUGAUGCAAUAGUGGAUUAUCGAGCGUCAGCUCUCACAGAAGAACCCAUAGUCAUAACCCCUCGUCUUAUUACGUUUUCAAGCUGAAGAGUCGAGGUAUCGAGGCACUGAGAUACUUUAUUAUGUACUCAAAUGUAUCUGUGGGAGGAAAGGAGCUACUUCGGAUCAAGCACUACCCCAAUGGUAAUCCUCAGAUCCUUUACGAAAGCCAGAAAUCAUCGGUGACGCUAUGAAAUACACCCAGGACGUAGAAGGCAGUAGAAAAAACAGAAAAGCCCAAAAAUAUUUCAAUUCUCAUCCUGCUGUGAUCUCUCUAUUUGAAU